rnacentral:rRNA from 1 species
AGAACGAACGCUGGCGGCAGGCCUAACACAUGCAAGUCGAACGAGAAGCCACCUUCGGGUGGUGGACAGUGGCAGACGGGUGAGUAACGCGUGGGAACGUGCCUUUCGGUUCGGGAUAACCCAGGGAAACUUGGGCUAAUACCGGAUACGCCCUUCGGGGGAAAGAUUCAUUGCCGAAAGAUCGGCCCGCGUCGGAUUAGCUAGUUGGUGGGGUAAAAGCCUACCAAGGCGACGAUCCGUAGCUGGUCUGAGAGGAUGACCAGCCACACUGGGACUGAGACACGGCCCAGACUCCUACGGGAGGCAGCAGUGGGGAAUAUUGGACAAUGGCGCAAGCCUGAUCCAGCCAUGCCGCGUGGAUGAUGAAGGCCCUAGGGUUGUAAAGUCCUUUCGGCGGGGAAGAUAAUGACGGUACCCGCAGAAGAAGCCCCGGCUAACUUCGUGCCAGCAGCCGC